rnacentral:rRNA from 1 species
UACGUAGGUGACAAGCGUUGUCCGGAUUUACUGGGCGUAAAGAGCGCGCAGGCGGUCGAUCAAGUCGAGUGUGAAAAGCCCCCCAGCUCAACUGGGGAGGGUCAUUCGAUACUGAUCGACUCGAAGGCAGGAGAGGGUAGUGGAAUUCCCGGUGUAGUGGUGAAAUGCGUAGAUAUCGGAAGGAACAUCAGUGGCGAAAGCGACUUCCUGGACCAAUACUGACGCUC